rnacentral:rRNA from 1 species
UGCGGAGGAUGCGAGCGUUAUCCGGAUUUAUUGGGUUUAAAGGGUGCGCAGGCGGCACGGCAAGCCGGCGGUCAAAUCGCGGGGCUCAACCCCGCCCAGCCGUCGGAACUGCCGGGCUAGAGUGGGCGAGAAGUGUGCGGAAUGCGUGGUGUAGCGGUGAAAUGCAUAGAUAUCACGCAGAACUCCGAUUGCGAAGGCAGCGCACCGGCGCCCUACUGACGCUCAGGCACGAAAGCGUGGGUAUCGAACAGG